AUGGGCGCAAGCCUGAUGCAGCCAUGCCGCGUGUAUGAAGAAGGCCUUCGGGUUGUAAAGUACUUUCAGCAGUGAGGAAGGGGUGUACGUUAAUAGCGUGCAUCUUUGACGUUAGCUGCAGAAGAAGCACCGGCUAACUCCGUGCCAGCAGCCGCGGUAAUACGGAGGGUGCGAGCGUUAAUCGGAAUUACUGGGCGUAAAGCGCAUGCAGGUGGUUUGUUAAGUCAGAUGUGAAAGCCCGGGGCUCAACCUCGGAAUUGCAUUUGAAACUGGCAGACUAGAGUACUGUAGAGGGGGGUAGAAUUUCAGGUGUAGCGGUGAAAUGCGUAGAGAUCUGAAGGAAUACCAGUGGCGAAGGCGGCCCCCUGGACAGAUACUGACACUCAGAUGCGAAAGCGUGGGGAGCAAACAGGAUUAUUAUUCUUUUGGUAGUCCACGCCGUAAACGAUGUCUACUUGGAGGUUGUGGCCUUGAGCCGUGGCUUUCGGAGCUAACGCGUUAAGUAGACCGCCUGGG
rnacentral:rRNA from 1 species